GCACAAGCGGUGGAGCAUGUGGUUUAAUUCGAUGCAACGCGAAUAACCUUACCUGGCCUUGACAUGUCUGGAAGUCUGCAGAGAUGCGGAUGUGCCUUCGGGAACCAGAACACAGGUGCUGCAUGGCUGUCGUCAGCUCGUGUCGUGAGAUGUUGGGUUAAGUCCCGCAACGAGCGCAACCCUUGUCCUUAGUUGCCAGCUUUAAGUAGGGAACUCUAAGGAGACCGCCGGUGACAAACCGGAGGAAGGUGGGGAUGACGUCAAGUCAUCAUGGCCUUUAUGGCCAGGGCUACACACGUGCUACAAUGGUAGAAACAGAGGGAAGCCAACGCGCGAGCGGGAGCCAAUCCCAGAAAAUCUAUCGUAGUCCGGAUCGGAGUCUGCAACUCGACUCCGUGAAGUCGGAAUCGCUAGUAAUCGCAGAUCAGCAUUGCUGCGGUGAAUACGUUCCCGGGC
rnacentral:rRNA from 1 species